GUCUACCACAUCCUAUUCUUUCUCCAUUAACUUAUCUCCAUUAUUAGUUUCCUUCCUAUUACAGGACACCAUCUCCACUUCCUCAAGAUCAAUGUCACCCAAAUCAAAUCCUAAAUCAUCACCAUCGCAUCCUCCUAGAAAACCUUAUUUCCUUCUAUUAGUUUAUGCUUCCAUCGUCUUCGCACAUAUCAAGCCCUCCACCACUUUUUGUUCAUCUUCUUGUUCAGGUUCGAAUUCCUUCAAAUGUCCGGUUUCGAAUUUGUUUUUAUCAUGUCACCAAACCUAUACUCUAUGUCUUCGAUGAAAAUCCCAUAUGAACCAGUUAUAUGUAUGUAUGUUCGUUUUGAUUUUGUUCUUGAUGCAGAUUAGUGUUGUUUUAAUGUCAUGCCAGUUUCGAAGGAUUAUUUUAGGCAUUCUCAUAUAUAAAACGAUUUUAUUGUACAAAAUAGACAAAAUUGCAAAAGUGGUCCUAAUGGUUUGUCAAUUUCUAUGGGUAAGUUCCAAAAAAAAGUUUAUUAGCAAAAGAGGUCCCUAAUUGAUGGUUUUGUUAUGGUUUUGGUCCCUACUUCGUUAAGUUUAACAGCAUGACUGUUAACUUUUGGAAAAUGAUAGAUUUACCCUUGAGACUAUUUCUGCAGUUUUAUCUUUUUACCAAACUACAAGGACCAAUUAUGCAAUUUUUCUUUUUCAUUUUAUUGAAUUAUUAAAUAAUUGAAUUACUUUUUUCUUUUUAACUUUUUACUUAGUGUAUUAUUUUUAUUGGAUUAUUAUAUAUUAAUAAAUAUUAUUUUUUAAUAUAUUAUACUUAUAUAUUAAUAAAUAUUAAUUGUUUUAAUAAUUUUUUUUGAAUUUCUUCUUUAUUGCAUUAAUUCUUUUUUGUUGGAUUAUUAUAUAUUAAUAAAUAUUAUUUUUAACAUAUAAUAUUAUAUUUAUCUAUUACUAAGUGUUACUUUAUUGGAUUAUUAAAUUAAUUUAAUUAAAUUUUAUAAAUUUUUUUAUUUCGUUAUUUGUUUUGAUUGGAUUAUUAUAUAUUAAUAAAUAUUAUUUUUAACAUAUAAUAUUAUAUUUAUCUAUUACUAAGUGUUACUUUAUUGGAUUAUUAAUUUAAAUUAUUAUUUUUAUUUAUAAUAAAUAAUAUUUUUUAAUUGUUUUUUAUUUUUUUUAAAAUUUCUUUCUUUAUUGUUUCAAAUAAAAAUACCAAAAAAUCAUACCCACCCCACAUUCUCUAAUUUAUUUUAAAUAUUUGGAAGAUAACAUAUUUUGGACAACACCACCACCAUUGCUCAGUCACAACAAACCAUUAUCGGGCCGUCUCCAACCCUGUUAAUAUAUAUAUAUAUAAGUUCAAUAAUUAUUCAUGAAGUGAGAUCAUCAUGUGUAUUUUAGUUUUUGUGUAUUCACAUAUAUCUAAAUUUGUUAUUUAUUUCAAUAAACUUAUGAUUUUGACAUAUAUAAUUUACCUAAAAAUAUUUCUACAUGAAUUACCAAAUAUGAGUAUUCGCUACUCGGCGGUCGACCGAACGAGUACCACAUAACGAGUUCUACAACUUUGUCACCACCUAUAGUGGCUAUGGUGGUUUGAAAACCCUCGAUCUAACAUUGUCGUCGUCGAUGGUGGUAUCUGUAACGAAUGGUCGGCUGGAGGAAGUAUGUUUUCUGGGGUUUAUUUCACAUUGUGUGGGUAGUCAACUGGUGUAGUUUUCAUCGAGAAUGGUCAACUGUAGUCGAUGAUCGAUGAUUUCCAGCGAGAUUAAAAUAAAAUAAAAACAAUAAAAUAAAUAUUACUUAUCAUAAAUAAAAAUAAUAAUUUUAAAUUAAUAAUCCAAUGAAAAGAACUAAUGCAAUAAAAAAUAAAAAAUAAUAAUUAAAUGAAAUUAAUAAUCCAAUAAUGUAACUGUAACAUCCCAAAUUUCAAGGCCAAAAAUUUCAUUUUUAAUUAUGUGAUUUAUAAAAUAGUUUAUCAAAACAUUGCCAAAAUCAUGUCAAUACAUAAAACCAUAGUAUCAUGUCUCAAAACCAUAUUAGCUAAAGGAAAUAAAUAUCAGAGUACAAUCUCAGAAAACUCUAAGCAGAAAUCAUGUGUGCGUGUGUGAUGCGCUGCUACCCCGCCAGCUCCNNNNNNNNNNNNNNNNNNNNNNNNCCAGCCUUUCCCUUGGACGAAAAGGUACCUGAAACCAAAACUGAAACUGUAAGCACAAAGCUUAGUGAGUCCCCCCAUCAUACCACAUACUAUACAAUCACAUAGCAUACAUACUAUCGGGCAGUUUUGGGGCGCCCGUCCUACCCAUGUCAAGCCAUUUUGGGGUGCUGACCUACCCAUCUCGAGCUAUUCUGGGGUGCUGACCUAUCCAUGUCAAGUCAUUCUAGGGUGCUGACCAACCCAUGUCAAGCUAUUCUGGGGUGCUGACCUACCCAUGUCAAGCUAUUAUGGGGUGCUGACCUACCUUCUGGUCUGUCUCAACCGAACACGGGGACUAUUUCAUCCCCUAGCAAGAACUCGACGGGUUCUCCUUCAUUCAAACCAUCAGAACCAUCUUCAUCUGACUCACCGAGUUCUUCCUUGAACUCGACGAGCUCAUCUCCCUCAUAAGAAUCUGUCCGGUCUACGACUCGCCGAGUUGUAUGAACAACUCGUCGAGUCCAUCUUCAAAAGUUGGGAGAUUGCCUUGGACUCGCCGAGUCUAUUCAUACACUCGCCGAGUCCUAUGAUUUCCAGGUCCCUUUACGAGUCUAAACAUCUAAGGGACUUUCCUCCCUAACAGUUGGUCCGUCCUCAGAAAGGAUUUGGUGGUCAUUACACUGCGACUCACCGAGUCCCAAGAACAACUCGUCGAGUCAAUCCAUGACCAACACUAUACAGUCGAUUUUAAUGGUCCUUAACACCACAAAACCAUAGAUCUGGCCCCCUAAUGUCCAUUUAAUACGUAAAGCUCCAAACUUAGUGUAUAUGCAUGGGGGUUUUGGCUCAAAAAGCCAUAAAAAAUGAUCUACAAGAUGCAUGGGGCUCUCAUGGCCAUAAAGUUGGCACCUUUAUGCCAUGAGACCCUUCCAAUGACUCAGAUCUGAAGUCAAUACCUCAUAUGAUACUCCACAAAUCCGAAUAUGGCUUGGAAAGCCCUAAAUAUGCCCAAAACCUAAGUCUAAGGAUGAAUACACAUAUAGAAGACCAAGACAGGGACAUUUUACCUUGAUUGUGCUGAAAAUGGAACUAGAUCUCUGAAUCUCUAAGCCCCAACUCGAACUCUCAAGCUUCUUCUUCUUCUUCAAGCUUCACAAACCUCCAAAUGCACCAAAAUGGCCUUGGAACACACAAAAACGGUUAGGGUUUCGAUACACAGCUUUCUGGGAGUGAUAAGGGUGAUGGAGGUUGAGAUAAGGUGUUUAAAUAGGAUGCAGACCCUCAGAUUUAGGGUUUCACUCAACCAGCACCUACUCGUCGAGUCAGUCUCCCGAUUCAUCGAGUAGGUCACUUAAACUGUCUGCGGGUCACGACUCUACUCGACGAGUUGGGCCACCAACUCGUCNNNNNNNNNNNNNNNNNNNNNNNNNNNNNNNNNNNNNNCAUACCAGGAUUAGGUGUUACAGUAACACUUACUAAUAGAUAAAUAUUAUAUGCUAAAAAUAAUAUUUGCUAAUAUAUAAUAAUCCAAUAAAAAAGAAUUAAUACAAUAAAGAAGAAAUUAAAAAAAUCAAUUAACAAAAUAAAAAUAAAAAAGUAAUAUUUAUUAAUAUAUAAUAAUCCAAUAAAAAAGAAUUAAUACAAUAAAGAAGAAAUUAAAAAAAUCAAUUAACAAAAUAAAAAUAAAAAAGUAAUAUUUAUUAAUAUAUAAUAAUCCAAUAAAAAAGAAUUAAUACAAUAAAGAAGAAAUUAAAAAAAUCAAUUAACAAAAUAAAAAUAAAAAAGUAAUAUUUAUUAAUAUAUAAUAAUCCAAUAAAAAAGAAUUAAUACAAUAAAGAAGAAAUUAAAAAAAUCAAUUAACAAAAUAAAAAUAAAAAAGUAAUAUUUAUUAAUAUAUAAUAAUCC
rnacentral:lncRNA from 1 species